GUAGCACGCCAAUUUUGAUCUAGGUUUGUUUUAGUUUCGUAUUUUGUUUCUUGGGAUUGACGAUUUGGAUUCUACAAUUAUAAUUUCUCUUUUGGAGUUGUUUGGCACGUCAACUAUCCCUGAUUUAAGGUUUUUGCUUUUUUCUUUUUUAAAUUUUUUACCCACACAAAAUAACACAUUGAUUUAGGGUUUGGGUUACCGAUUGCACCAAUCUACAUAAUCCACAACGAAUCGCUGCCUAAAAGCUCAUCAUGGAAGACGUAUUAACCGGGCUCCAGAUCACGGAUGAGGAAGAAGAGGCAUAGCAGCUAUAUAGGGACUCCAGCCUGCAACAACUGGACUAUGAUCUAUGUCUGGUCGAAUUCUUUCUCACGGCUAGUGUGGUUCACUUUCUGGCAAUACAAAACAUGCUGGCGAAUUUAUGGCACCGAAUAAGGGGUUUUCAAAUUUCAGACCGAGGUGAGAAAAGAUUCUUGUUCAGGUUUUAUCACAAGGUAGAUAUUGGCAGAGUGACUAAAGGGGUUCCAUGGACAACAACCACAUCUUAGUUUUUCAUCAUCUUGGUGCUAACAAAGAUCCAAUGCAAGUAACACUAAUCUACAAUUAUUUCUGGGUACAAGUUCAUGUUCUCUCACCAGGAUUUUUCUUCGAGAACAUUGCCAUACAAUUCGAAAAUUUAUAGGUUCAGUUGAAGAAAAUGGUACAAAAUAAAUAGGAUAUGGGUUUAGAGAUUAUUUGCAGCUCAGGGUUAGGCUAGAUGUGAGAACUCCGUUGAAACGUCGAAAGAAAAUCCAACUUUCCCCUUAGAAUCAUACAUACGUUAAGUUCCAAAAUGAGAAACUCACUUUGUUAUGUUCUUUAUAUGGCGGCUUGGGUCACGGAGAUAGUUUUUGUCCUGUCCGAUUAAGGAAAUAUUUCAAAGAAACAGAGAUAGGAUGGGAUAUCUCACUUCGAGCUUCAAGGAGAAGGGCCAUAACAACAAGGAGCGCAUUAAUAAAAGUGGAUUGUGAGCCAAGCUUUCCAAAUCGAUUUCCUAUGGAGAAUGCUUCUAGCCGGUAAUUAAGGGAAAUUAACCUAGCAAAUGAGAAAGGUCGGGAUGGGCAGAAAAUUUGAAAGGAAGUGAGACAUGUACUAAAAAAUAAGGCACAAUAUACCAAUGGCCGCCAAUGGACAGACUGACCGAACACAAUGAAUAUCAUAAGCUGAAACGUCCGUAGACUGAGGACAAUGAAUAUCAUGGUUUCUUAGUAAUCUUAUUUCAAAUUUACAAAUUGGUGAUGGUUCUGGAUUCACUUUUAUGACUGAUAAACAUAAGGACUGAUGGAGAAGAUUUCUGAGUUGUUGCCAAGGGUUGAGCACAGAGUCUGUGCAAAGCAUCUAUAUGCCAACUGGAGGAAAGAAAAUCCUGGAGGAGACCUGCAACAAGCAUUUUGGGGAGUCUGCAAAUCAUACAUAGCUACUGACUUUGAAUAUCACAUCAAAAAGAUUAACCUAUCAAACAUAGUUCCAAUGUAAGUUUACUUAGUAUUGAUCCUGAGCAAUGGUCAAAAGCCAUUUUUUCUGGUAGGUCCAUAUAAGAUGCAAUUGACAAUAAUUUUGCAGAGUCAUUUAAUGCAAUAAUUUUAGGAGCUAGAUCAAUGUCUAUAAUUUCCAUGUUAGAAGAAAUUAGAUAGUUAUAGAGAGGAUUGUAAACAAUUUGGCCAAAUGUAAAAAUUAGAAUGAUAAAUUCUAUCCUAAGAUAUGUGAGAAGUAACACAAGAAUAUCCAAAUGAGUUCAUAUUGUCAUGUUAAAUGGAAUGGAGUAGAAGGGUUUGAAGUGGCAAACUUUGGUGAUGUAGUAGUUGUUGACUUAUUUCAGUGGUCAUGUAGUUGUAGGAGAUAGGAUCUCAUUAGCAUCCCAUGUUCACAUGCUGUUGCAGCCAUCUUGUGGAAAAAAAGUUGAUAUUUCUAAUUUUGUAUAUAAGAAGUUUAAAAAAUACGUAUGGCUUUGUAUUGUCUAUUGUCCCAAGUGAAAUUUUAGUCGAAAACUGAUAUGAGACCAAGUGACCCUCUAUUCCAAGAAAAAUUCCUAGGAGACCAAAAAAGAAUAGAGCCAAAAAAGAGAGGGAGAGGGGAGUGGGAGUAAACUAUCUAGAAGAGGGAGUGCCACAAGUGUUCCAUGGUUGGACACAACUCCAGAAGCUGUCAAACUUCAUCUACUUGUACACCUCCACCAGCUCCUUUUGAUCUUGCUCCACUAGCUCUUUCUCAAACUGUUGCAUCCGAAGCUUCUACAUCAUCACCAGCUCCUUCAACACAGCUAACUCCUCCCACCAUUGCAGCAUUUUCAGCAUAGCAAAUGCUUACAAGACUUUGUAGCAAGGGAAAGCAAGCUAUGCAAGAGAUUGAGUUAUACACCAAUGAGAGGAUAGGGAUGCCAAUUUUGAAUCCUGGUAUGAGAGGGAAAACCAUGGUGACUACCCAACCAAGUACACCAAUAAAAUGAAGGGAAACAUCAACAAGGACACUAUUGGCAGGACUCAAUAAAGUAGAAACACAAAAAAGGCUAAGUCUAAAAUCCCACCCAAGCACAACUGUAAGCCAUGGAGAUAGUUGAUGUCAAUCCAUAUUUAUUUUGAUGGUUUUAAUUUGUUAACAUACGAUGGAUGGUUUUAUUUUGUUGGAUCAUUUUGAUGGAUGUAUUUUGAUGGACGGUUUAAUUUUGUUGAAUCAUUCUGAUGGUUAUAUUUUGAUGGACAA